GAUGAACGCUGGCGGCGUGCCUAAUACAUGCAAGUCGAGCGAACAGACGAGGAGCUUGCUCCUCUGACGUUAGCGGCGGACGGGUGAGUAACACGUGGAUAACCUACCUAUAAGACUGGGAUAACUUCGGGAAACCGGAGCUAAUACCGGAUAAUAUAUUGAACCGCAUGGUUCAAUAGUGAAAGACGGUUUUGCUGUCACUUAUAGAUGGAUCCGCGCCGCAUUAGCUAGUUGGUAAGGUAACGGCUUACCAAGGCAACGAUGCGUAGCCGACCUGAGAGGGUGAUCGGCCACACUGGAACUGAGACACGGUCCAGACUCCUACGGGAGGCAGCAGUGGGGAAUCUUCCGCAAUGGGCGAAAGAUUGACGGAGCAACGCCGAGUGAGUGAUGAAGGUCUUCGGAUCGUAAAACUCUGUUAUUAGGGAAGAACAAAUGUGUAAGUAACUAUGCACGUCUAGACGGUACCUAAUCAGAAAGCCACGGCUAACUACGUG
rnacentral:rRNA from 1 species